rnacentral:misc_RNA from 1 species
UCGCGGCUUAACACCGGCAGUCCCCUUAGAGUGCCCAACUUAAUGAUGGCAACUAAGGGCGAGGGUUGCGCUCGUUGCGGGACUUAACCCAACACCUCACGGCACGAGCUGACGACAGCCAUGCAGCAUCUGUGCACGCUCCCUUGCGGGUCAUCACCCUUUCGGGCUCUUACCACGUGCAUGUCAAGCCCAGGUAAGGUUCUUCGCGUUGCGUCGAAUUAAACCACACGCUCCGCUGCUUGUGCGGGCCCCCGUCAAUUUCUUUGAGUUUUAAUCUUGCGACCGUACUUCCCAGGCGGCGUAUUUAACGCGUUGGCUACGCCACAAAAGGGGUCGAUUCCUUUUACAGCAAAUACGCACCGUUUACGGCUAGGACUAC